UUACGGCGAUAUCACGUUGAAACACCGGCUCUCAUACGAUCACCGAAGUUAAGCAACGUCGAGCUUGGUCAGUAGGUAGCUGAGUGACCACUU